rnacentral:rRNA from 1 species
CGGACGGGUGAGUAACGCGUGGAAAACCUGCCGUAUACUGGGGGAUAACACUUAGAAAUAGGUGCUAAUACCGCAUAAGCGCACAGCUUCGCAUGAGGUGGUGUGAAAAACUCUGGUGGUAUACGAUGGUUCCGCGUCUGAUUAGCUUGUUGGUGGGGUAAUGGCUCACCAAGGCGACGAUCAGUAGCCGGCCUGAGAGGGUGAACGGCCACAUUGGGACUGAGACACGGCCCAAACUCCUACGGAAGGCAGCAG